rnacentral:rRNA from 1 species
GAUGAACGCUGGCGGCGUGCCUAAUACAUGCAAGUCGAGCGAACAGACGAGGAGCUUGCUCCUCUGACGUUAGCGGCGGACGGGUGAGUAACACGUGGAUAACCUACCUAUAAGACUGGGAUAACUUCGAGAAACCGGAGCUAAUACCGGAUAAUAUAUUGAACCGCAUGGUUCAAUAGUGAAAGACGGUUUUGCUGUCACUUAUAGAUGGAUCCGCGCCGCAUUAGCUAGUUGGUAAGGUAACGGCUUACCAAGGCAACGAUGCGUGGCCGACCUGAGAGGGUGAUCGGCCACACUGGAACUGAGACACGGUCCAGACUCCUACGGGAGGCAGCAGUAGGGAAUCUUCCGCAAUGGGCGAAAGCCUGACGGAGCAACGCCGCGUGAGUGAUGAAGGUCUUCGGAUCGUAAAACUCUGUUAUUAGGGAAGAACAAAUGUGUAAGUAACUAUGCACGUCUUGACGGUACCUAAUCAGAAAGCCACGGCUAACUACGUG